CUCUUUUGGGCUUCCUCCAGGGAUAUAGGCGUGGGAUAAUUCGUCCCAAAUUUGGUCGCUGUUCCACCAACAGAUUGAACCACGUGGUGCUGGUUGUGGGAUACGGCCAAUGUGGUCGCCAUCGCUACUGGAUCAUUAAGAACAGUUGGGGAGUUAACUGGGGCGAAAAGGGUUAUUUCCGUCUCUACCGUGGGGAGAACGCCUGUGGGAUCAAUCAGCACCCGUGCACGUGCGUCAUCUAGACAGAGGACCAAGAGACCACACCAACGCCCCUCAGCUUUCCGUUGGACGCCUCCUUGAAGGGGAGGGGGUCUGCUUUCGCCACCGCACGCAAAGGGUUGCGGGAGGGCGGUUUAUGGGGUGGGUGUCCCACCUCCUCGCCCGAUUCCCAGCGCCCCGUCCUCCGCCCGCUUUCAGGCUUUCGGCCCGUAUCGGAGCCUGCCCUCCCGCGAACGAUGGCUCCGUCGCGACUGGCUGCUCCCUUCUUCCCGAACGCUGCCAGAUUCCCGCCGGGAACCUCUUCUCCCCGUUUCUGCGCGUGCCUUUUAAUAAACUGCCCAUGACCAUC